GGCGCGGUGGCGGAGUGGUUAACGCGACAGAUUAGAAUUAGUUCUAAUCCAUCUGUUCCGGUUUCCGGGCGUAGGUUCGAAUCCUACCCGCGUCG